rnacentral:rRNA from 1 species
AGUGAACGCCGGCGGUAGGCCUAACACAUGCAAGUCGAACGGCAGCACAGAGGAGCUUGCUCCUUGGGUGGCGAGUGGCGGACGGGUGAGGAAUACAUCGGAAUCUACUCUGUCGUGGGGGAUAACGUAGGGAAACUUACGCUAAUACCGUAUACGACCUACGGGUGAAAGCAGGGGAUCUUCGGACCUUGCGCGAUUGAAUGAGCCGAUGUCGGAUUAGCUAGUUGGCGGGGUAAAGGCCCACCAAGGAGACGAUCCGUAGCUGGUCUGAGAGGUUGAUCAGCCACACUGGAGCUGAGACACGGUCCAGACUCCUACGGGAGGCAGCAGUGGGGACUAGUGGACAAUGCGCGCAAGCCGGAUCCAGCCAUACCGCGUGGGUGAAGAAGGCCUUCGGGUUGUAAAACCCUAUUGUUGGGAAAGAAAUCCAUCUGGUUAAUACCCGGGUGGGAUGACGGUACCCAAAGAAUAAGCCCCGGCUAACUUCGUGCCAGCCGCCGCCGGAA